CCUACGGGAGGCAGCAGUGGGGAAUUUUGGACAAUGGGGGCAACCCUGAUCCAGCCAUUCCGCGUGAGUGAAGAAGGCCUUCGGGUUGUAAAGCUCUUUCAGUUGGAACGAAACGGUACGCUCUAACAUAGCGUGCUAAUGACGGUACCGACAGAAGAAGCACCGGCUAACUACGUGCCAGCAGCCGCGGUAAUACGUAGGGUGCGAGCGUUAAUCGGAAUUACUGGGCGUAAAGCGUGCGCAGGCGGAUUGUUAAGCAAGAUGUGAAAUCCCCGGGCUUAACCUGGGAAUGGCAUUUUGAACUGGCAGUCUAGAGUGCGUCAGAGGGGGGUGGAAUUCCACGUGUAGCAGUGAAAUGCGUAGAUAUGUGGAGGAACACCAAUGGCGAAGGCAGCCCCCUGGGAUGACACUGACGCUCAUGUACGAAAGCGUGGGUAGCAAACAGGAUUAGAUACCCUGGUAGUCCACGCCCUAAACGAUGUCAACUGGUUGUUGGGGGAGUGAAAUCCCUUAGUAACGAAGCUAACGCGUGAAGUUGACCGCCUGGGGAGUACGGUCGCAAGAUUAAAACUCAAAGGAAUUGACGGGGACCCGCACAAGCGGUGGAUGAUGUGGAUUAAUUCGAU
rnacentral:rRNA from 1 species